GCAUGAGACAAGGGCAGCCACACAGCACAGACUGGGGCCAGAUCCUGACAGAUGCAUAGGUCUUGAAGGUGUCUCAGGAUCUGUAUGAGGUAACCCCUCUGGAGAUGGUUCACUGAGAUGGGAGAUGGAGGAGGAGCAGAGACAGCUUCAGUGAUGUGGAUCCCAGCCCCAUGGCCACCAGAUGCAACACAUCCUGUCAUGAGCCAUCGGAUCUCCAGGAUAUGAUCCAUUGGCAUAUGAGGAUUACGCCUUUUACACAGAGGACUUAAAAAAAGCUUUGUCAUUGUGCUAACAGAGGUCUCAGGACAGCAGCCCGUGUUAGCAGUGCUUGGCUGGACUGACAACCUUCGGCUGGAAGAGAUCCACUUAUCUUCUGUGUCGCGGACCCCAAGCACCCCCACCCCGCUCCAGCUUCACUCUGUGCACUUGUCAGGAUGAGCACUUGGGUGAGGGAGGAUCUCGAGCACCUUUUCAUGUGGAAACACCGUGAAAAAGAGGUGGCCUACAAGAGCUGAGGAACCUGGCAGCUCUGCAGCCUGCCCGGGGUGACCAGCCAGGGCUCAGCACCGGGGCAGAGCUGCAGCGCUGGUGACUUUGUUCUGUCUUUGCUCCGUGACAGGGAUGAUGCAAAUGCCUGUUUUGUGUGGAAUUUGGGGCCUUUUUUUCCUUCCCAAUAUCUUCUGAAUUUGUUUAAAUAUUGGGGGCUGCAAGGAGGGGGCAGAGUUAAGGGGAAGAAGAGUUAGAGGUGGGAUUUUUAAAGCCUUUUUUAUUUCCUACUAGGUAAAUAUAGAUUACUAAAAGAGUGGCAGAAAAUGAACUUGCCAGACCAAGGGCAAUAGAACAGAAGAUUAAUUUCUUGAUCAGAUAACACUGACCUUACCACACAGACUGAAAAGCAUGCUGCCUUACACCACUCGGGCAUCUGGUCAGGGCCUUUGUGCUCAGAUCCCUUACCCAGGGCUGACUGGUGUGUUCCUCAGCUCCCCAGGUAUAUGGCACACAGCAAUGUGCACUGCUGAAAUGAAUAUACACAUUGGUGGAAAAGGUGCUGGAGGGUGUGCCUUGCUUUUGCCUUCAGGUACAGUUGUUGGCAAAGAACCUUUUAUUCUUAUAUGCUGAAAAAGACCAAGACCAAACAAUAUUUUAUAUACACAUACACAUACAUAUAUAAAAAUUAUAUAAAUAUAUAAGCAUAUAAAUAUGAUGAGCAUGCAUCUAUAUGCACACAAGCACACAACACGCUCUACGUCAAUAUAAAGUGCAUGUAAAAUGCUUGCAUGCAUGGCUACAAACUACCUUCUUUGUAUUUUUUCUGUAAAUUGAGCACUUUUUCCAGGUGAAUUAGAAACCUUCCUGCGUGUCUGUCUGUCUGUCUGAGGCAGGAGAGCAGGGACUGCAGGAGAGUUUCUGGAAGUCAAAGCCUGCAAGUGAGUUUUCUGCACUGUUAACGUUGUGCCUCUCUCUUGCUUGGGUUGAUGCUGACAUCUGGAGGCUGUGCCGCAGCAGUGUGUGCACACGUAUUUAUGGCUUUUUGCACAUCUUUAUGGCUGCGUGCAGUUAUUUCCACGUGGCAUUUUGUUCAUUUUCAUGGCCAUGCCAUGUAAGAAGCACCAUUUAGCUAUCCUGCUAUGCGAGGGUGAUUUGACCGCAGAGCAUUCCUAAUCAUCUGGAUAUAUUUGCUGAAGUCCUGUUGCUGAUUUGGGUAGUGUUUAGCAUGUGUAUACCGGUUCCCUGCAUUAGUAACAUCUGCUCGUGACCUGGACAGCAAACACGAUCCCAGGCUCGAAUACAACAGGUCUGGAUGCAAGGCAAACCUUGAUCUGACCCAGUUAAAGAGUUGGGAAAAAGUGAGGCAGUAUUGCAGAUGACGGAAAAUGGACUUAUUGUUUCAGCUGACAGAUAUUUGGAGCAUCACUGAUGUCCACAGGGGGGGUUCACCUACAGUGCAGGCUGUCUUACAGUGCUGACCCCCAAAAUGAGCCCAUAUCCAUAAUCCCACAUGGAAGAGUGUUCUGCUUUUCCUUCUCCUGUGCCACCUCCCUGUGCCACGCUGUCACCAUGUGUGAUGGAUGGGCCUGGUGCUGGGGUGAA